UACGUAGGGGGCUAGCGUUGUCCGGAUUUAUUGGGCGUAAAGAGCGUGUAGGCGGCCAGGUAGGUCUGCUGUGAAAACUCGAGGCUCAACCUCGAGACGUCGGCGGAAACCAUUUGGCUAGAGUCCGGAAGAGGAGAGUGGAAUUCCUGGUGUAGCGGUGAAAUGCGCAGAUAUCAGGAAGAACACCAAUGGCGAAAGCAGCUCUCUGGGACGGUACUGACGCUGAGACGCGAAAGCGUGGGGAGCGAACAGG
rnacentral:rRNA from 1 species